GUGAAUUUAGUGCUCGUGAAUGGUGCUGAAUUAUGUGACCUUCGGCUGAGACAUGAAAGAUGCUGGAUUGGAAGUUCUGGAGCCUGAAGCUUCCCAUUUACUACAGAACAGGUGUCCACAUCACAGAAACGAUCUGCUAGAUAAUGCACUGAGACCACCAACCAACCAACUGGUAACAGUCCUUCAGCACUAUGAGCCUGGCAGAAGACUGAAUCAGUAAUCUAGAGAUGAGAGGAAAGGUGGCAAUUGCUAACUAAAAUUAGAGAUGUGGACUCAGAAAUCACUUGCGAGGCCUGUAAAGAGAACUUACGAUGAGCAACUUCCUGCUGUGAGAAUGAACGGGCUGAAUUCUGAGAAGCAUCAUGUUCCAUCUGGGGCUCUGUGGACAGCCUUCUAUUCCUGGAUCCAUCCCAGAAGCUCAAGCUCCUGAAACUGCGGUGGGCACUGAGCCAGCAACAAGGAGAGAUUUAAUCGGCGUCCGAGCAGGUUCAGGAUGACAGUGUACUGUGCAUUUGGUAGAUGGUAAGGAUGUUAACCAGGCUGGAUCUCACCAAGGCAAAUAUCCCGAUGGUUGUCGCUGCACGGUGUGUUUUACAUAAUAUCCGUAAAGCAAAGGGGGAAACCGUCGCUGGCAGGGUGGGGGGAAGUGGAAAGGCCGUCUGCUGACUUUGAACAGCCGUGACUCAAGGGCCCAUUGUGGCGCUGGGCAGUUGAAGAAGGCCUUGUGCUUUGACCGUGCCCCAUCCUCAGGCAGUGUGCUGCUUUGUGUUAAUUUGUAUCCUUUUGUGAUUCAGCAGUAGUUGGCUGGCGUCUGAAUUGUCGAUUAACGGUUUUGGAGGUUGCGUGGCUGUCUUGCAAGACCAAAUAAAUACAUCUUGAUUGUCCCCGACUCAGAGCUCCAGAGGUGACCGGCGAACAUGCCCUUCCUUGACCUUGUCUUCUUCCUUCUGCUCAAGGUCAGUUUUUCAGCAGGUGCAGAAGGGGUACCCCCGUUGAGGCCACUGCUAACAACAGGCCAGACAGACAUUGUUAGAUUUAAAGAGUUGGCAGAUAGGAAAAGAGAGAGAAAAAUCUCCCUAAAAGGCUCCCAUAAAGAUCUUAAUAAAACAAUGAACAGCAUCAGGCUAGCUUCAGAGCCGCUGACUUUAGGACAGGUCAGCAGUUCCCAGCCUGGUGAGUGCAUAGGGGGCACUUUUCAAAACCUGUAACCCUGAGGAGUGGGGGUGGGGGUCGGCCAGGCAUCCCAGCUAAUAACUGGAGGGACAGCGCGGUAAAUAUUGCCAAACGUAUUACAGGCAGUGGUGAUUCUGGCCAGUACACACUCCUGUGGGUGCCAUAGGCGGCCGCACUCCUCCUAGCGCUGGUGGAACUCCUUGCAGGGCGGUGUGAGAAAGUUGCCUAUGGGGAUGGAAGAAACAAAGCAGCCCUGCUGAGAAACGUUCAGGCAAAUCUCAAAGGCCUUGGCUACACUGGCGCUGUACAGCGCUGCAACUUGCUGCGCUCAGGGGUGUGAAAACGCCCCCCUC